AUCUACUACAACUGAAAUUACCAAGGGUAUUAGAUCCGAAGUCUCUGGGAAGACUUUCACUGCAGCUCAUGAAGCCAAAAUUCAAUGCUUUGUCUGUGCCUCCCAUAUAUCCCAAGAAGAUAACACAGGGAUAAAACCCAUUUUCACAUUAAAAUGCAAAGCUUGGCUGCAAAUCUGAUUAUUUAAAGCCUUAUUCUAUACAAGCUAUUAAAGUAUAUGUUCCACAUUGCCAGAGUUUUAAGGUUGCUCCGUGUUCUUCAUUAGUCUCUCUAAGUUACACUGUAGAUCUUGGACGGCUAAUUAAAUAUUAAAGGUAAUAUUAAUGGAAAAGAACAAAGCAUAAUGAAUAUUCCUCAGUUUAUUAGAGAAAGUAAUGAAGAUUGAUGUGUCUAUUGCAAAGUAUUUUGAUAAGGGAUAAAAAGUUAGACUAUAUUAAAUGACUCUCUUUUGUUUUGCAUCAUAGGGCCAAUAGGAUACUGUACUGAUUUCUGCUGCUCCUUCCCCCCUACUUUCCUCAUUAAGCUCUUUAAGAUAAGCGUGGAGAACAGAAGUACCAAAAAAGCAGGGAGAAAAUUGGCUGAAGGAAGGAGUUUCCAUGUUGUAAGAACAGUGAGAUGUGAAUCUGACACCUACAACUGGCAGAACUCUUCAAAGCUGCUCCUUUAUUUGUGAACAUGGGCUUUAUGUCUGACCAUUGUGGUGUUAGUUAUAAUAACAUCCUCCACUCUCCAGUCAUCAGCAGAUGUCGAAGUUGGUCCUGAUGUUAAUAUAAUGAAAAUAUGUUAAAAGUUAUAAAAUAACAAUUUAUGAGGCAAUCAAGCCAGUUUCUUAAAAAUUAGAAACAUAUCUGAUACAGAUACAAAUCCAUGAAGACCCCUCUCUUCUUAAUGAACCCUGUGGCACCAGUCCUAUACAGAUUAUUGUAGUUAGUUUCUAAGUAAGAUCUAAGGCUGUUUUCAGAUGACCUGUUUACUGAGUAUUCAUCCUGACUUGUUUGUACAAUGCUUAUGGGAAGGUUAUAGGACACCAGCAAUUUAUUAAGCAUUUCUUCAUAUUUCCUUGUGGGGAGGUCAGAUUAUAUUGCCUCAAACAAUUGUUAUCCCACACUUUACGGUGCAUUUUCUCAUCACUUUCCUUACCACAAGAAGCCUGGUUUUUUUGUGUGCAACCUGCAUUUAUGGGUAUGUUACUUAAUCCCGAACCAAAAUAACAGCACCUUGAAAGCACCCUUCGAAACAAGGUGUAAUGUAGAGAACCAGCACAGUCUAUUGGUUAGAAAACUAGACUUGGGUUUAGGGGACCUUGGGGAUGGCUUAAAAUAAGGAUACUCUUCAUGUCCUUGACCACUCUUUAACAACCUUCAUCUAUUUCUUAUUGCUCAAAGGGCAAUACACUCCAGCACUGAUGAAGUAGCAACAUUGGUAGUGCAUUGAGACAUUUUGUUUUACUAAUUUCCCUACAGGCAAAAUAAAUAAUACAUAUUAAUUUAAAUGUAAAUAAUACAAUGAAACAAACAAACCACUUUCCAAAAUAUAUAGUUUUUUUGUAUGUUAUUUUUACUUAUAUAUUCACUUUUAUGCAGUUUUACGAAAUAUAUGCAAUUUUUUUAAACUGGUUGGUUAGAGAACUGCAUCACAAAAUUUGGAUAAGUGCAAAUUUCAAAGGCUGGCUGUGUUUCAGUUUUCAUAUUGUUUCAGAAAGUAUUACUGUAUUUUGGUAAAUUCCACUUUAAAUGUAAGCUGAACAGAAUUUCUGCUCCAUCCCUAAUUAUGACUAAUUGCAUAGUUAGUUGUCAGCCUUGACUUAAGAGUCUUGAUUUGAGACUAACUUGUGUCAUUAGUUGUUCCAGUCAUUUCAAUGGCACUUAGUCAAGGUUAAUCAUAGCUGGAUCAGCACCUGUGGCUUUAACUGCACUACUGUUUGCAACUCACCUGACCUGCAUUGACAAUUAACUUUGUCAAUGGGCCUCCUUAUCACUCAAGAGGUAAGCCUGAGUCUGGGACACACCACUUCACAGUGCAGGUGGAUUCUCAUAUCUACACAAACACACACACAAACAUCCUAUACAUAUGGAUCUAGAUUUCAACAAGCAGAAUUGGACCAUUGCCUUCUCCGUGAAGGGAGCAUUGCCACAUACUGAAAAGAUCUGUGACAUGGGCUGAUAGGCAUACCCACUCCAUGAAAAUGAUUAGAUAUGUCACCAUUUUGCAGAAGGAUUCAAGGGGAGGAGCCCCACAAAGGAAAUAAAGUUUGGGGUUUUGUUAAGCCUCUGUUCUAAAAUUAGAUUAAAAGGUAUAUAUUUGGAUUACUUUGAUAGCAUGGUAAUUUUAUAAAUGCAGGAAUACAUUGGGGGAGCACGCAAUCAUGGGAGCCCCUACGCCAGGAUUCCUCGCUCUCGGCCCUUCAGAUGUUUUGAGACUACAGUUCCCAUCAUCCCUGACCACUGGUCCUGCUAGCUAGGGAUCAUGGGAGUUGUAGGCAAAAAACAUCUGGAGGCCCAAGGUUGAGGAAGCCUGCCCUACGCUUACCUAUAGAGGGUCUAGUGGUACAGUCCAUUCAUAGGUUUAAGAUAUUUGUGAGAAUCAGGCCCUCGUGUCAGGUUUAUAUGAACGAAAGCCUCAAAAGCACAGUCUGCUAAUUGUUAUGUGCAGAGACCUAGCACUAGAAUGGCAUGUGAUGCUGCAGACAGACUGAAAACCCAUUGUCUGAGGAAGGUUGCAUAAUUCUCCCCUACCUGUAUUUGAUUAGACUAAAUGCUUUUAUUCCAAAUUCCAUUCACGAAGAGGUCAAAAGGAAACUUUCUCAUACAUUUCAAUAGUCCUGAUCUCUGCAGAUAAUUGAUUAUCAGUGAUAAUAUUAUAGUAGUAAAUAGUGUAUGAUGGGGGGAGGGUGGAAAUCCCAGACCUUGGAUCUUUGUGAAUUGGGUAAAAAUAUUGAUUUUCAUUUUGUUCAAAGAGCUUCAGUGAGUGAUUUAAGAGCUUAACAUCUAUAUGAGUUUGGCCGUGUCCCCAAAAUAAUUCAUUACAUGGUGGUUAUUAUUCUGCAUUUGCAAUUAAUCAGGUUGGUAAAGUGCUUCAUUUGGUGGGUAUGUAUUGUUAAAAUAAAUCUGG